GAAGACGUAUUUUUCAGUAUCGAAGACUACGUCAUGGUUGCAUAUUCCUGCGUAAUUUAUAAAAUCAAUAUUUCUGCAAUAGAGCCAAAUUAUUGUUAAGUACUACAGCGCUUGUUGCAAAAUUUGUAUCUGUAACACGAAAUUUCUUGGUAUCCCACUGUCAUAGCGUCUGCAAUUACUGUAUCUCUUCGCCGGAUUUUGAUACUGAUACAGUGAUACUGAAUACCACGGAUGAUCGCAGAUACAGAUAUAUCCCGCAGACGAUCCCCCAUCGCUGAAAAUGCUACCAGUUCCCAUGCACUCCACCCACCCGGGAUGUUACAUGCUCGGUAUGACUCAGCCUGCGCUCCUUCCCACUCAGUCGAUUAACCAGCCUAUCUAUUUUCGGGUUUCUAUGGAACCCGUGUGAUAAUAAUACGCUUCUUUCACAACCCAGCGGAGAGCAAUGCACUUGAUUUGGCGUAUAUGCCGACGCUCAAUGCCAAGGCGCGUGUAAUCACCAUACGGCAGUGCGCUGAAAAUGCCGGGUGAUCUUGUGAUCGAGGAUGACUUGGACAACCACCAACCUGCUAUUCUCGACACCAUACCCGGCUUGGCAACGUGGCACUUCGCGGUAUUACGCGGGCACAUGGCUCCGCGGCGGAUGCAUAAUAUUAUAAUCGCCAACUUAUGCGAUUCGCCCGCCUGAUAAAACCGUUCAACUUAACCGGUUACAUGCGGAGUGUGCACAGCGGCGUAAAACCGUAAUCAUGCUGUGUUUGUUGGCGUUCGCUAUCGCGUGUUCGGCGUUUACCUGGACGCAGUGAAACUCGAUCUGUUUCGUGAUACAGAACUCUUCUAAUAAUUCUAGUCAUAAGGUUUUUUAAUGCCUCCUCAAAAACCGUAAAAAAUGCAUGCUGUUUGAUAAACGGUUUUUUUGCCGGCCUUUCUAUAUGUGCAGAUAUCUGGAGUGAAGCGUGUGCAAAACUUGUGUACUCUACUAAUAAUCUUUAUCCUCGGAUUCUUUAAAUGUCUCUUUGAAAACCGUAAAAACCUGCUUGUCAUUUAAUAAACGGAUUUUUUUAACAGCAGUUUAACGGAACGACAUUUUUUUACGGAUAUCUGGAGCGGAGCGUGUGCAAACGAUUAGCAUCGUUUCUCGCUGGAUCUCAGCUCAACGGAUCUGUUAAAUAAAAUUCUAUCGGAUCUUCACUGUAUCGACGCCGCACUGAUUCGCCUUAAUCUGCACCGAAAAAAAUCCGAAAUUUUUUACCGGAAAACGGUUCCGGAAAUAAUUAUGUCGGACACGGUGAAAUCCCAGCCGAUCCCCAUCCCCUUCCCCCGCAAGAGCAAACUGGAAAUCGCCGACGCCACGGAGACGCCACACCGCAGUCUGGAGCGGAAUCCGCGGUCGCGCUCCACCUCCGUGGUGGACAUCGAGCCCUCGGAGAUCCAGCGGCUGCAGCUGCACAGGAAACAGAGUUUAUUCGUCCAGCCCACAUUGGAGCAUGGGAGUAGUCCGCGUCAGGCUUUUGAAUGGUAGCGGAAGUCGCUAGAGUGUACGGUGAUGCCAGAGUGUGUAUAUAGAUACUGACAUGAACAGUCUUUCGCACAUUAAUGUGUAUUUCUUGAAGCGAAGUGUGUUAUUACUCAAAUCAAAAGCUGUAGUUGUAUUUGUUGUGCCGAAGAUGCAAUAGUUUUGAUUUUUGUUGCCUUUUUGUACAGCAGAAGACGAUGGAUUUAUGUACCAGGAUUCAAUACAUACACUGAAUAUAGAGAUUUACAUAUAUGCGCGUGAUCUGCCAGUUGACUGCUGCGGAAAAAUAUUAAAUUUAGCGCACUGUG